rnacentral:snRNA from 1 species
AGUCAAGUGUCACUUACUCACUUCAGCAAAUGGAAUGAUACAGAGCUUAGCAUGGUCCCUUUUCAAGGAUGACAUACAAAUUCAUGAAGUGUUCCAUAUUAAA